rnacentral:rRNA from 1 species
GGCCGCGGGAAUUCGAUUGGAUCGCCCUUAGAGUUUGAUCAUGGCUCAGAGUGAACGCUGGCGGCGUGCUUAACACAUGCAAGUCGAACGAGAACGGAUUAUAGCUUGCUAUAAUUGUCAGCUAAGUGGCGCACGGGUGAGUAAUAUAUAGGUAACAUGCCUCUUACUAAGGGAUAACAGAUGGAAACGUCUGCUAAUACCUUAUAUGCCUUUAAUACUGAAGUAUGCAAGGGAAAGAUUUAUUGGUAAGAGAUUGGCCUGUACGGUAUCAGUUAGUUGGUGAGGUAAUGGCUCACCAAGACGAUGACACCUAACUGGUUUGAGAGGAUGAUCAGUCACACUGGAACUGAGACACGGUCCAGACUCCUACGGGAGGCAGCAGUGGGGAAUAUUGCACAAUGGACGAAAGUCUGAUGCAGCAACGCCGCGUGGAGGAUGACACAUUUCGGUGCGUAAACUCCUUUUAUAGGUCAAGAUAAUGACGGUAGCCUAUGAAUAAGCGCCGGCUAACUCCGUGCCAGCAGCCGCGGUAAUACGGAGGGCGCAAGCGUUACUCGGAAUCACUGGGCGUAAAGAGCGUGUAGGCGGAUUAAUAAGUCAGAAGUGAAAUCCAAUAGCUUAACUAUUGAACUGCUUUUGAAACUGUUGAUCUAGAGUGUGGGAGAGGUAGAUGGAAUUUCUGGUGUAGGGGUAAAAUCCGUAGAUAUCAGAAGGAAUACCGAUUGCGAAGGCGAUCUACUGGAACAUAACUGACGCUGAGACGCGAA